rnacentral:rRNA from 1 species
AUUGAACGCUGGCGGAAUGCUUUACACAUGCAAGUCGAACGGUAGAGGGGGCAACCCCUCGAGAGUGGCGAACGGGUGAGUAAUAUAUCGGAACGUGCCCAGUCGUGGGGGAUAACGUAGCGAAAGUUACGCUAAUACCGCAUACGAUCUAAGGAUGAAAGCGGGGGAUCGCAAGACCUCGCGCGAUUGGAGCGGCCGAUAUCAGAUUAGGAAGUUGGUGGGGUAAAGGCCCACCAAGCCAACGAUCUGUAGCUGGUCUGAGAGGACGACCAGCCACACUGGAACUGAGACACGGUCCAGACUCCUACGGGAGGCAGCAGUGGGGAAUUUUGGACAAUGGGCGAAAGCCUGAUCCAGCCGUUCCGCGUGCAGGAUGAAGGCCCUCGGGUUGUAAACUGCUUUUGUACAGAACGAAAAGGUUUCUACUAAUACUAGGAGCUCAUGACGGUACUGUAAGAAUAAGCACCGGCUAACUACGUGCCAGCCGCCGCAGUAA